rnacentral:rRNA from 1 species
AGAGAUGGAGUUCUUCAGUUCGGCUGGACCGGAGACAGGUGCUGCAUGGCUGUCGUCAGCUCGUGUCGUGAGAUGUUGGGUUAAGUCCCGCAACGAGCGCAACCCCCGUCCUUAGUUGCUACCAUUUAGUUGAGCACUCUAAGGAGACUGCCGGUGAUAAGCCGCGAGGAAGGUGGGGAUGACGUCAAGUCCUCAUGGCCCUUACGGGCUGGGCUACACACGUGCUACAAUGGCGGUGACAAUGGGACGCUAAGGGGCAACCCUUCGCAAAUCUC